CCAGGAGCUCAGCAUCAUUCCUGUCCCCAUUGCCUGGCAUGCUGGAGGAACACAAGGUCACAUUCAAGACCAUCCAAAACACAAGUGCCAAUUGAUGUACCUCAGUCUUCCUCAUCGUUGCCACAUACACUCCCUCAAGCACUUGUUGCUUUGAUUUUGCUACUCCACGAAGAACUGCAGAACCAACAGACUUAAGGAGUAGCCUAAAGAGACAUCUUAAAGGCUUCAGAAAGUGCUGCCCACUUAUAUUUACCUUCUGCUUCCAAAAAACAGCAUACAUCACAAAAGACAAAAUACAAUACAAUAAAGGCAGGCUUAGGUAAACA